CGGUUUUCGUACGAUCACCGAAGUUAAGCGACGUCGAGCCAGAUCAUUACCUAAAUGGGUGACUGCUUGGGAAUACCAAGUACUGUAAG